UACAGGGGGGGCAAGCGUUGUUCGGAAUUACUGGGCGUAAAGGGCUCGUAGGUGGCCAACUAAGUCAGACGUGAAAUCCCUCAGCUUAACUGGGGAACUGCGUCUGAUACUGGAUGGCUAGAGUUCGGGAGAGGGAUGCGGAAUUCCAGGUGUAGCGGUGAAAUGCGUAGAUAUCUGGAGGAACACCAAUAGCGAAGGCAGCUCGCUGGGACGUUACUGACACUGAGGCGCGAAAGCGUGGGGAGCGAACAGG
rnacentral:rRNA from 1 species